rnacentral:rRNA from 1 species
GACGAACGCUGGCGGCGUGCCUAAUACAUGCAAGUUGAGCGCUGAAGGUUGGUACUUGUACCAACUGGAUGAGCAGCGCACGGGUGAGUAACGCGUGGGGAAUCUGCCUUUGAGCGGGGGACAACAUUUGGAAACGAAUGCUAAUACCGCAUAAAAACUUUAAACACAAGUUUUAAGUUUGAAAGAUGCAAUUGCAUCACUCAAAGAUGAUCCCGCGUUGUAUUAGCUAGUUGGUGAGGUAAAGGCUCACCAAGGCGAUGAUACAUAGCCGACCUGAGAGGGUGAUCGGCCACAUUGGGACUGAGACACGGCCCAAACUCCUACGGGAGGCAGCAGUAGGGAAUCUUCGGCAAUGGACGAAAGUCUGACCGAGCAACGCCGCGUGAGGGAAGAAGGUUUUCGGAUCGGAAAACUCUGUUGGUAGAGAAGAACGUUGGUGAGAGUGGAAAGCUCAUCAAGUGACGGUAACUACCCAGAAAGGGACGGCUAACUACGUG